rnacentral:rRNA from 1 species
AGAGUUUGAUCCUGGCUCAGAUUGAACGCUGGCGGCAUGCUUUACACAUGCAAGUCGAACGGCAGCACAGGGAGCUUGCUCCCGGGUGGCGAGUGGCGCACGGGUGAGUAAUACAUCGGAACGUGUCCUGUUGUGGGGGAUAACUGCUCGAAAGGGUGGCUAAUACCGCAUGAGACCUGAGGGUGAAAGCGGGGGAUCGCAAGACCUCGCGCAAUUGGAGCGGCCGAUGCCCGAUUAGCUAGUUGGUGAGGUAAAGGCUCACCAAGGCGACGAUCGGUAGCUGGUCUGGAGAGGACGACCAGCCACACCUGGGACUGAGACACGGCCCAGACCUCCGUACGGGAGGCA